CCUACGGGGGGCAGCAGUGGGGAAUAUUGCACAAUGGGGGAAACCCUGAUGCAGCGACGCCGCGUGAGUGAAGAAGUAAUUCGUUAUGUAAAGCUCUAUCAGCAGGGAAGAAAAUGACGGUACCUGAGGAAGAGGCCCCGGCCAACUCCGGGCCAGCCUCCGCGGUGCAACGGAGGGGGCAAGCGUUAUCCGGAUUUCCUGGGGGUGACGGGAGCGUAGACGGCAGAGCAAGUCUGGCGUGAAAGCCGGGGGCUCAACCCCCGGACUGCUCUGGAAACUGUUAGGCUGGAGUGCAGGAGAGGUAAGUGGGAUUCCUAGUGUAGCGGUGAAAUGCGUCGAUAUUAGGAGGAACACCAGUGGCGAGGGCGGCUUACUGGACUGUAACUGACGUUGAGGCUCGAACGCGUGGGGAGCAAACAGGAUUAGAUACCCCUGUAGUC
rnacentral:rRNA from 1 species